UACGUAGGGGGCGAGCGUUGUCCGAAGUUACUGGGCGUAAAGCGCGCGUAGGCGGUUCUUUAAGUCUGGUGUGAAAGGUUCAGGGCUCAACCCGAACAGUGCACUGGAUACUGGAGGACUUGAGUUAGGGAGAGGGUAGUGGAAUUCCUGGUGUAGCGGUGAAAUGCGUAGAUAUCGGAAGGAACAUCAGUGGCGAAGGCGACUUCCUGGACCAAUACUGACGCUCAGGUGCGAAAGCGUGGGGAGCAAACAGG
rnacentral:rRNA from 1 species